UGGGCCACAAACUAACUUUCGCUGCUCUAAAUGUUGCCUCGCUUUAAAUACAUCAAUUAAAAACCCAUCCAUGAGUGCUCUGUUUACUAAAAGAAGUGAAGCAAAUCUAAGAACGGCAGCUAACUCUUGGGAACAUUUGGACAAAGUGACCAUUCCAGUGAAAUUAACACAAAUUGUUUCAAC